CUCUUCCCAUUCCGAACAGAGAAGUUAAACCUUGCUACGCCGAUGGUACUGCGAAAGCGGGAGAGUAGGUAACCGCCCCUU
rnacentral:rRNA from 1 species